UGAACCAGCCGACAGUCCAGCUCCUUUAGUGUCUGCUGCCCUUGCUGCUGGGACCUGGGCGACGGGGGCAAGCGGGCAGUGGGGAGGAGACAGGGGACAGUCAAGCCCG